rnacentral:snoRNA from 1 species
GGCCUCUCUCCCUUGGAGGUGGGGGGGGGUCCAUUUUCCAUUUUCUCCUCAGCCAAGGAUGGCAGCCAAGAUCAUGGCCAGGACUGCCAUGAGCUUGGCAGCCUUGUUUUCCUGCCUCAGACAUUU